UCAGAUUGAACGCUGGCGGCAGGCCUAACACAUGCAAGUCGAGCGGAAACGGCAGCAUUGAAGCUUCGGUGGAUUUGCUGGACGUCGAGCGGCGGACGGGUGAGUAACGGCUGGGAACCUGCCCUGACGCGGGGGAUAACCGUUGGAAACGACGGCUAAUACCGCAUAAUGUCCUGAUUCGUUAGAGUUAGGACCAAAGGUGGCCUCUACAUGUAAGCUAUCGUGUUGGGAUGGGCCCAGUUAGGAUUAGCUAGUUGGUAAGGUAAUGGCUUACCAAGGCAACGAUCCUUAGCUGGUUUGAGAGGAUGAUCAGCCACACUGGGACUGAGACACGGCCCAGACUCCUACGGGAGGCAGCAGUGGGGAAUAUUGCACAAUGGGGGAGACCCUGAUGCAGCCAUGCCGCGUGUGUGAAGAAGGCCUUCGGGUUGUAAAGCACUUUCAGCAGUGAGGAAGGUGGUGUACUUAAUAAGUGCAUGACUUGACGUUAGCUGCAGAAGAAGCACCGGCUAACUCCGUGCCAGCAGCCGCGGUAAUACGGAGGGUGCGAGCGUUAAUCGGAAUUACUGGGCGUAAAGCGCAUGCAGGCGGUUUGU
rnacentral:rRNA from 1 species